rnacentral:rRNA from 1 species
GAUGAACGCUGGCGGCGUGCUUAACACAUGCAAGUCGAACGGAAAGGCCCUGCUCUUGUGGGGUGCUCGAGUGGCGAACGGGUGAGUAUCACGUGAGGAACCUGCCCUUGACUUUGUGAUAUCUUCACGAAACUGGGGCUAAUAUCGCAUAUGAUCUCCUGCUGCAUGGUGGGGGUUGGAAAGUUUCGGCGUUUGUGGAUGGUCUCGCGGCUUAUCAGCUUGUUGGUGGGGUAGUGGCUUCCCAAGGUUUUGACGGGUAGCCUGCCUGGGCGGGUUACCGGCGGCAUGGGGCCGAAGGGACGACCCAGCAGCCAACGGGCGGCAAGGGGGGGAAGCCUGGCGGAGUGGGGGGAGGCGGGUGGAGGAGGCCUCGCGUGGGGAAUGGCGUCUUACGGGGGGUAAACCACUUUGUCAGGAAACAAGGAGGGAGUGACGGUAUUUAAUAAAAAAGCACCGGCUAACUACGUG